AGGUGUCGAAGGCUGUCUUGAGUGGAAAGCACACUGCGGAAUGUACUCCAAGAAGGUCAAAGGAUGUUACAGAACUCCCGAGAUGAAGCUGAAGGUUGGAGAGAAUGGAAGAUUGACAUGGAGAUGAUGGCUUAGAUAUGGACUAAAACUGCCUCUUCUUAGCUGGAAGACCCUGCAACAUUUGCUUGCCAGAAAGCACAAGAUGAGCUGGAAAGGGGAGCAUGGCCAAACACACCACCAGAUCACAUAAUCUAGAAGAUCCUGUGUGGAACAGAGACUCAGAGCUCAAAUGUGAACAAGAAAUCCACUUUGUUCUUCUAAGCCAUGAGGAUCAUUUGCCAUAAUACAGACCACACCCAGAUGAUCACCAGAACUAUAGCAGGAGAAUAAAAGAUACGGGCUCAUGGAACCAAAGACAGAGUGACCAACUCCGCACCUGAGUGGCAUGAAGACCCUAAAACCUUCAGUUAGUCCUCUGUGACUCGACUUUCUUGUCUGUAAGCUGUGGGUAACAAGAAAUCCACCAGAGAGGUGGAUCUCAAUUACUUCUCUACUGCUGUGAUGAAACACCAUGACCAAAGCAACCUGACGGGAAAGGGUUCACUUGGCUUACACGUCCAUCCCAUAGUCAGUCACUGGAAGGAGUCAGGGCAGGAACCUGGAGGCAGGAGCUGAUGCAGAGGCCACGGAAGGAUGCUGCUUACUGUCUUGCUCACAUGGCUCACUUAGCCUGCUUUCUUCUAUAACUCAGGACCACCACCCCAGGGAUGGCUCCACCCACCAUGGGAUGUGAAACUCCCAAACCCUUUAGUUAAUUAAUAAAAUACUUAACAGCUGAAUUUUUUAAAUUUUAUUUAUGUAUUAUUUAUAUGAGUAUACUGUUGCUGUCCUCGGACACACCAGAAGAGGGCAUCAGACCCCAUUACAGAUGGUUGUGAACCACCAUGUGGUUGCUAGGAAUUGAACUCAGGACCUUUGAACGAGCAGCUGCAGCUGUUAACCACUAGCCCAGAGUUCCAAAGUCCUUCUGAAAUCCUCCA
rnacentral:lncRNA from 1 species